GACGUAGGGGACGAGCGUUGUCCGGAUUUAUUGGGCGUAAAGCGCGCGUAGGCGGCCUGGUAAGUCGGAUGUGAAAACCCGGGGCUCAACCCCGGGCCUGCAUCCGAAACUGCCCGGCUAGAGGUAGGUAGGGGAGAUCGGAAUUCCUGGUGUAGCGGUGAAAUGCGCAGAUAUCAGGAGGAACACCGGUGGCGAAGGCGGAUCUCUGGGCCUUACCUGACGCUCAGGCGCGAAAGCUAGGGGAGCGAAUGGG
rnacentral:rRNA from 1 species